rnacentral:rRNA from 1 species
AUGGUCGGAUGAGAGAUUUACUUUCUUUAUUUUAAAAAUAAAAUUUGAUUUCUGAAUUAAAAAGUUUAGAUUUUAUUAAAGGACGAGAAGACCCUAUAGAACUUCAUUUCCCCUAAAAUAUUUAUUUACUUGUAAAUAUUUUUUAUUUAUUUUAGGGGAAAUUUUGUUGGGGUGACAAAAAAAAUUGUAUAACUUUUUUUAUUUUUAUCAUUUAUGUGUGAUUUAUUGAUCCUUUAUUGAGGAAAAAAGAUUAAGUUACCUUAGGGAUAACAGCGUUAUUGUUUUGGAGAGUUCAUAUUGAUAAAAUAGUUUGCGACCUCGAUGUUGGAUUAAAAUUAGCUUUAGGGGCAGAAUACUAUUAGCUAGGUC